rnacentral:lncRNA from 1 species
AGACUUCGACAGAAGGGCGCAUGAGAUAUAUUAUCUAUUACCGUCAUAACGUAGAUAACAUACUCGCAUGGAAGAUUAUCCACAACCGGUUACUGGGUUAAUAAAGGAUAAAUCGACCAAAAAGAAAGGACAUCGGGAUACCGGCAACUGGGUAUAAAAUGAUGACCGAUCAAAGGGGAGAAACAAUCAUUACCAAACAAGAGUAAAUGAAAGAUGAC